CUAUAUUUCCCGGGCAGCCGCAAAAUCGGCUGCCGGGAUUGGAACCCCGGACA
rnacentral:ncRNA from 1 species